rnacentral:rRNA from 1 species
UUCUUGGUCAUUUAGAGGAAGUAAAAGUCGUAACAAGGUUUCCGUAGGUGAACCUGCGGAAGGAUCAUUAAAGAAAUUUAAUAAUUUUGAAAAUGGAUUUUUUUGUUUUGGCAAGAACAUGAGAGCUUUUACUGGGCAAGAAGACAAGAGAUGGAGAGUCCAGCCGGGCCUGCGCUUAAGUGCGCGGUCUUGCUAGGCUUGUAAGUUUCUUUCUUGCUAUUCCAAACGGUGAGAGAUUUCUGUGCUUUUGUUAUAGGACAAUUAAAACCGUUUCAAUACAACACACUGUGGAGUUUUCAUAUCUUUGCAACUUUUUCUUUGGGCAUUCGAGCAAUCGGGGCCCAGAGGUAACAAACACAAACAAUUUUAUCUAUUCAUUAAAUUUUUGUCAAAAACAAGAAUUUUCGUAACUGGAAAUUUUAAAAUAUUAAAAACUUUCAACAACGGAUCUCUUGGUUCUCGCAUCGAUGAAGAACGCAGCGAAAUGCGAUACGUAAUGUGAAUUGCAGAAUUCCGUGAAUCAUCGAAUCUUUGAACGCACAUUGCGCCCCUUGGUAUUCCAGGGGGCAUGCCUGUUUGAGCGUCAUUUCCUUCUCAAACAUUCUGUUUGGUAGUGAGUGAUACUCUUUGGAGUUAACUUGAAAUUGCUGGCCUUUUCAUUGGAUGUUUUUUUUCCAAAGAGAGGUUUCUCUGCGUGCUUGAGGUAUAAUGCAAGUACGGUCGUUUUAGGUUUUACCAACUGCGGCUAAUCUUUUUUUAUACCGAGCGUAUUGGAACGUUAUCGAUAAGAAGAGAGCGUCUAGGCGAACAAUGUUCUUAAAGUUUGACCUCAAAUCAGGUAGGAGUACCCGCUGAACUUAAGCAUAUCAAUAACCGGAGGAAAUCACUAGUGC